rnacentral:piRNA from 1 species
UCUUUAGCAAAGACUCAAGCCAGCCCUGA